rnacentral:rRNA from 1 species
UACGAAGGUGGCAAGCGUUGUUCGGAUUUACUGGGCGUAAAGGGCGCGUAGGUGGUGCGGUAAGCCCUCCGGGAAAGCUUCAGGCUUAACCUGAAAAGGUCGGGGGGGACUGCCGCGCUAGAGGACGGGAGAGGAGCGCGGAAUUCCGCGUGUAGUGGUGAAAUGCGUAGAGAUGCGGAGGAAUACCAGUGGCGAAGGCGGCCUCCUGGGUCUCAACUGACGCUGAAGCGCGAAAGCAUGGGGAGCGAACGGG